CCUACGGGGGGCUGCAGUAGGGAAUAUUGGUCAAUGGGUGAGAGCCUGAACCAGCCAUGCCGCGUGCAGGAAGACGGCCUUCUGGGUUGUAAACUGCUUUUAUCUGGGGAUAAAAAGGCCUUGCGAGGCACAUUGAAGGUACCAGAUGAAUAAGCACCGGCUAACUACGUUCCAGCAGCCGCGGUACUACUUAGGGUGCAAGCGUUUUUCGGAUUUAAUGGGUGUAAAGGGUUCGUAGGCGGUCAGUGGUGAAAUCCAACAGCUCAACUGGUGAUGUGCCAAUGAUACUGAUGGACUUGAGUACAGACGAGGUAGGCGGAAUUGACAGUGUAGCGGUGAAAUGCAUAGAUAUUGUCAAGAACACCGAUAGCGAAGGCAGCUUGCUAGCCUGUAACUGACGCUGAGGCACGAAAGUAUGGGGAUCAAACAGGAUUAGAUACCCGAGUAGUC
rnacentral:rRNA from 1 species